rnacentral:rRNA from 1 species
AUUGAACGCUGGCGGCAGGCUUAACACAUGCAAGUCGAGCGGGGUGAUGGUGCUUGCACUAUCACUUAGCGGCGGACGGGUGAGUAAUGCUUAGGAAUCUGCCUAUUAGUGGGGGACAACAUCUCGAAAGGGAUGCUAAUACCGCAUACGUCCUACGGGAGAAAGCAGGGGAUCACUUGUGACCUUGCGCUAAUAGAUGAGCCUAAGUCGGAUUAGCUAGUUGGUGGGGUAAAGGCCUACCAAGGCGACGAUCUGUAGCGGGUCUGGGAGGAUGAUCCGCCAAACUGGGACUGAGACACGGCCCAGACUCCUACGGGAGGCAGCAGUGGGGAAUAUUGGACAAUGGGGGGAACCCUGAUCCAGCCAUGCCGCGUGUGUGAAGAAGGCCUUAUGGUUGUAAAGCACUUUAAGCGAGGAGGAGGCUCUUUUGGUUAAUACCCAAGAUGAGUGGACGUUACUCGCAGAAUAAGCACCGGCUAACUCUGUGCCAGCAGCCGCGGUAA